AGGUCCGGGACAUUAGGGGUCUGGGACGGUUCCAUCACGGCCGGUGCGGAGGGAGCAGGGCGCCUGGCUGUGCCCAGCUGAGAUCUGCACCCCAGCUUCCCCAGCCUGGAUCUCCAGGGACUUUGAGCUGAAAUUCCAGGAGGGGGCUGGACCAAGUGGUCCGGCCCAGCCUGAUUUACAGGAAACCACACCAGCACUCUAUCCGCCUUAAUUUGUAACUGAACAGUGUCCUGGGCCAACCAAUAGCUACCACCGAACCCCCACUCAUGCAGCCUCCCUAACCCUGGGGGACUAGCUGCUGAGUCGCCCCGAGGCAGGGCAGCGAUCGGAACUUCGGAGCAGGUCCGGGCUGACGUCGCCUCCCAGAUGGCCUCCAGGCUGACCCCGCUGACCCUCCUGCUGCUGCUGCUGCUGGCUGGGGACAGAAUCGCCUCAGAUAUGAUCGUCGGCCCAGAGAGCUUACAAGAAGGGGAAAGUGAAGGAGACAGCCAGAAAGGAGGUAUUCUCGACAGCGAGUCCCUUCAAGGCAACGAGGACCCUCCCGCCUUGCCGAUGGCUAACCGGACUGUCGCCGAGCCGCUGUCACCGAGCCCUCCAGCUGUCACCGAGCCCUUCAGCCAGCCCGCCCCCGAACCGGCCCAGUCGACCAGCCAGCCCGCUGCUGAGCCCUUCUGCCCGGCGCCCGUCACCUCCUGCCCUGACUCGGAGAUCCGCUCAGCAGAGGCGGUGCUGGGGGAGGCUUUGACAGACUUCUCCCUGAGGCUCUACCACGACUUCUCAGUGUUGAAGAAGAAGGAGACCAACUUCAUCUUUUCCCCCUUCAGCAUUGCCAGCCUCCUCUCCCAAAUCCUGCUUGGGGCUGGAGGAGAAACCAGGGUCAGCCUGGAGCGCCUCCUCUCUUACCCCCAGAACUUCAGCUGUGUCCACCACGCCCUGAAGGCCUUCACGUCUGAAGGUUUCACCUCUUUCUCUCAGAUCUUCCACAGCUCAGACCUGGCCAUCAGGGACACCUUCGCCGAGGCCUCUCAGAGGCUCUAUGGCAGCAGCCCGAGGCCCCUGGGAAAUGACAGCACCGCCAACUUGGAGCUCAUCAACGACUGGGUGGCCAAGAAGACCAACCUCAGGAUCAGGCGGCUGCUGGACAGCCUGCCAGAGGACACGCGCCUCAUCCUCCUCAACGCAGUCGCCCUGAGCGCCAAGUGGAAGAUAGCCUUUGAUAAAGGCAGAACAAGCCUGAAGCCCUUUCACACCAAAUCCUCUGCCAUCAAAGUGCCCAUGAUGAACAGCAAGAAGUACCCCGUGGCCUCGUUCACAGACCCGACUCUGAAGGCCCGGGUGGGCUGCCUGCAGCUGUCCCACAACCUCAGCUUUGUGAUCCUGGUGCCCCUGACAGUGAAACACCACCUCCAAGACCUGGAGCAGGCUCUCAGCACCUCCGUCUUCGAAGCUGUCAUGAAGAAGCUGGAGCUGACCAAGUUCCAUCCCACUCACCUGACGAUGCCUCGCAUCAAAGUGCAGAGCAGCCAGGACAUGCUGGAUUACUUUGACUUCAUCUACGACGUCAACCUGUGCGGGCUGACGGAGGACCCGGACGUGCAGGUGUCUGGGAUUCAGCACCAGGCCACCAUGGAGCUGGCGGAGAGCGGGGUGGAGGCGACCGCGGCCUCCGUCGUCUCCGUGGCCCGCAACUUGCUGCUCUUCGAAGUGCAGCAGCCCUUCCUCUUCCUGCUCUGGGACCAGCAGCACAAGUUCCCCGUCUUCAUGGGUCGGGUGUAUGACCCCAAGGGCUGAGCACGCCCCCGGGGCCUCAGCUCGCCCGGCUGCAUGGGCUGGGUGUAUGACCCCAAGGGCUGAGCCCGCCCCCGGGGCCUCAGCUCGCCUGGCUGCAGCCCACUCUGCACUUGCCCCUCCCCGCCUCCCACCUCAGGCCUGCCCUCCACCCGAAGGGCUGUCUUGGGGUCCCGUGAGGGGCCCAGCUCCCCUCCUCCCUUACGGCGACCCCUCCAAAGCACUUUUUGCUGCUUUCUCUGGCACAGAUACAGCAGACGUCACAAAUAAAGCCUGGCAGACAUGA